UCUAUAAUCAUAGUGCCCUUUAUUUAGUCAAUAUAGUCAAGUCAAGAUAGUGGAAUGUAAACUCGAAGGUUUAAUACAAUACGUUAUUAACAAGUAGAACCAUGGCAACCAGUUCUGAUGAUGUACCAGAAUGGCUCAAGGAUCAUACUUAUACUAUUUCUACUCUCUGGGCAUCCAUUCAAUAUUUAAUUUAUGUUUGGAAAUGCAAGAAAAAGGCAUGCAUUCCUGAAAAGUCAAUGAUUGGUUGCACCUCUUAAAGAUAACUUUGUGUUAUGAGAAAAGAUGAGAUUCUUGGACUCCUGCAUAGCACCACCAGAAAGGAAAAUCCCAUCAUGUUGCAAAAUAAAAGUCUUGGACCAAUUUUAAUUUAAGAUAUAUAUAUUAUACUGUAAGCUGUAUACAUAUUUAUGUAUAUCCUGUCAUUCAGCCAACAGUUUUGGAUUUAGUAUUUCUUUAAAUCUGUUUGAUAUUGUACUUGAAAACAAACUAUUAAUCUGAGCCCCAUUAAAACAAGAGGGAGUGCAGUGGAUGAGUGGUAAGGGAAAUUUUACUUUUUUAAAAUUAAAAUAAGAAUCUAACAAAAGUAAACAUAUAAAAUAUGGUGCAUUCUCCUUAAAACUAAAACCUGGUGCAAAGGUUUAAAAUGUUGGCAAAAAAAAAGCAACAUCAAUUAAAUAUUCUUAAUUCCCUUUGCAAAACUUACUGAGAAGAACAUGCAUGUUGUUUCCUCAUAAGUUUCUUGACAGAGGAAAUCUUGUUUAUAUAUUAGAUUUGAAUUAAGUAAAUUAAGAAAAAAAUUAUAAUCAUUAUUUCAAAUGGUUGUAUCUAAACCUUAUGAAUUAUUUUUCAGUUAUAAGUAUAUUGAAAUGAAUGGAUAAUCAUGAAAUUGUUAAAUAAUUGCUGCUAUCAUUCCAUUGACUAAAGAACCAUAAUUUUUUUUUUAAAUUAAUUUCAAAAUGAUUUUUUUCAAGCAGAGUUCACAUAGAUCUUGAGUGAAAUUUUUCUUUUUUUGACUAAUGCUUCAAUUUUAUUGUAUCAUUAGUUUUUUAUUUUUAUUACCCAGAAUAUUUAAAAAAUGAGCACACUAUUUUCAUGUAAUAAUGUAACUUGGUAUUUACACAUCAAAAUAUGCUAUAAUCUUUAGGCCAUAUAGAUUUGUAUAAAUAUAAAUUAACUUGCUUAAAUACAUUGUAAAUGUAUAUUGUUUGGAUAAGAAUAAAGUUUUUCUGUAGACAA